rnacentral:lncRNA from 1 species
CUAUAAACACGACCACGUCUGGUAUAUUUUGUGCUUGUGCGUGCUGGACACCGCGAUCACUAGAACGAGACUGCGAGCGGUUUUAUAAGGGAUGCGAUACCAAUCGAGGGUACAAGAAGUGAUGUACAUCUUCGUGGUCUACAAUUGUAACGGUUCGAUCAACAUGAUUUCCGUACAUACUUAUUGAGUGAGAAUCGCAGAUCGAUCAGUGAGAAGCUCGCCGAUGAAGCACAGUAUGAAAAUGUUAAAGAUAAACGUUACGAGAAGUAUAGAAUACGUAAACACAGACACAGCGUCGCUAUCUUCCCAUUCCUACAAAACACGCGUCGGUGAUAUUUUUCUUUGCACUUUCCUCCGCGCAGUAAACUGUAUAUAAACGUGAUUUACUUUGUCUUCGUUUGAAAUAUUAUCAUCUCAUUAUUAUGUAGCAUACCAUUAUUAUGUAAUAUCCAAGGAGAGACAGUAUGAACGUGCACCCGAUUACUUCUACCAGGCACAUGUACUGUAGAAUAUAUUCAACUUUACCUAAGAAGCUAGAUGACAUUAAUGAGAAUAUUUGAAUUAUAAUUAUUUUUGCCCCUUAUUCUCUCGCGUUAAGCACCGUAUCGCGAGCUCCUUCGUUCACAACCUUCGCUCACCACUCGGCCGAUCGCGAUAAGGCAUUGUACUAUCUUUUAAUCCUAAUGUGUUGUCUCACAAUAGCUGCCAAUUUGCCGUUGGCCUUUCCCUCGGAGAAAUGCUUCGUCAGUGUGAGGUCCUCCAUUCUGGUGAUAAGGAUUUUGAACUGGCCGCAGGCAUGCAGCACCAGUAAAGCCGCCAGGCUGCAGGCUCCGCUGGUCACGGAAUACUGCAUGAAGCCGGAGAGAAAUUGUAUGGUAAAGAUGAUCUCGUAAGCCGGUGUCUUCUGCGGAUCGAUGAAUACGUAGUACUCGCUGAAUCCCAAGUCUGAUUGUCACGUUCUGCAGUGUGACGACAAUACCGUUCGACAAUGGCACGAUAGUGCGAUACGAGAACCCGCUGACAUACACGAAGGCUAUGCAGAUGAUCAUCAAGCUUCGGCCAAAUCUUGAGUUGUCUGUCAUGAUCCUACGAUCCUCCGACAGGCUCACCUGUUUCCAGUCUUCCUCGAUGUGUCUGAUACAAUCUUUGAUCCGGUUAUUCCAGCAGAUCAGUACAACGUGCAUAGCCAUCAGGUAGUUGCACAUGGGGCCGAUUGCCUUGAGUCGACGGCGCGCUUUCAACUCUUUGAGGAAUAUCUUCAGCAGCCCCGGCACGAAGAUGAAAUAAAGCAGACCCUGGCACAGCACCCUCAGCGACUUCAUUCAGACGAGCCUGAAAGCGGAUGAGUCGCCGAACGAUGGCCACACGUCGAUCAAGUUCAGGACAGCUCGUGUCACUUGCACGAUGCGUCUGAUAUCAUCGUGAUGCGGUCUGUUUAUAUGCAUAGCUGCUCGGUCUGUUUAAUCCCGAAGUUGCUGAAGGACUGGCCGAGCAGUAUCAUGCAGCGAAAGAACUUGCGUGCGCUUGCGUCUUCGACGCAGCUGCGGAAGAGGUGAGGGGCUGACUGUGAUUUUUAUUCACGUACAUGAUCUUUCUUCCUCUUUCGCGGAAAAUCGCGGAAAACUUUGCAAACGUCGCAACUCGUCGCGGAAAAGUUUGUAAAUGUUAUAAAUGGAUAAAUUGCGUAUUCGUCGAGGAAGGGAGCAUCGUGACGGGAAGCCUAGACGGCAGGAUAAUAGCAAGCAUAAGAGAAAAUAGCUAGAAGAAACCAAUUGUAAACGAUAUAUCGAUCGUUUGAUAAUGGGACAUUUAUCAUUCUACAUUUGACGAUUACUUCCCUAUAAGAAGUCGAAGAAGAAAUAUGUACAGAUCAGCAUGGAACAGGUGGAUCAGAAAUUGGAUAAUUGGUGAUGGCAUACAAAUAGCAGCAUCGG